rnacentral:rRNA from 1 species
CUCGGCUGCAUGAAGCCGGAAUCGCUAGUAAUCGCGGAUCAGAACGCCGCGGUGAAUACGUUCCCGGGUCUUGUACACACCGCCCGUCACACCAUGGGAGUCGGGAACGCCCGAAGUCGGUGCCCCAACCGCAAGGAGGGAGCCGCCGAAGGCAGGCCCGGCGACUGGGGUGAAGUCGUAACAAGGUACC